rnacentral:misc_RNA from 1 species
AUUGAACCUUGCCUCAAAUUUUGCUUUGACAUAUAAUAACCUGUUCUGUUUUAUGUUUGACACAAUCUAGUCAAAUGGUCUUGGAAUAUCAUUGUCUAUGUAGAUCUUUUUGCAUUUUGUUGACUUACGGCUCAGUGCCUUGUUGGAUGGUUGUGUUACCUCCUUCAAGACCUUGUUCCUCUAUCAUGCAAUCCAAUGAUUGAUAAGUACCCACAGUUAUUGGUUUGUAUCUUAGAGUAUAGGACUCCUUGCAGUAUCAUUUUUGCCAAAGCAAUACCUUCUUAAUUCUUACAAUUCUGUAUUCUAUUUAUUUGGUGUCACACUCUUUAUUUCUUGUUCUACUGAAAU